CCUACGGGAGGCAGCAGUGGGGAAUAUUGGGCAAUGGGCGCAAGCCUGACCCAGCAACGCCGCGUGAAGGAAGAAGGCUUUCGGGUUGUAAACUUCUUUUCUCAGGGACGAAACAAGUGACUGUACCUGAGGAAUAAGCCACUGCUAACUCCGUGCCAGCAGCCGCGGUAAUACGUAGGUGGCAAGCGUUAUCCGGAUUUACUGGGGGUAACGGGCGUGUAGGCGGGAAAGAAAGUCAGAUGUGAAAACCAUGGGCUCAACCUGUGGACUGCAUUUGAAACUGUUUUUCUUGAGUACUGGUGAGGCAGACGGAAUUCCUAGUGUAGCGGUGAAAUGCGUAGAUAUUAGGAGGAACACCAGUGGCGAAGGCGGUCUGCUGGACAGCAACUGACGCUGAGGCGCGAAAGCGUGGGGAGCAAACAGGAUUAGAUACCCUAGUAGUC
rnacentral:rRNA from 1 species